rnacentral:rRNA from 1 species
UCCUACGGGGGGCAGCAGUGGGGAAUAUUGCACAAUGGGGGAAACCCUGAUGCAGCAACGCCGCGUGAGUGAAGAAGUAUUUCGGUAUGUAAAGCUCUAUCAGCAGGGAAGAGAAUGACGGUACCUGACUAAGAAGCCCCGGCUGACUACGUGCCAGCAGCCGCGGUAAUACGUAGGGGGCGAGCGUUAUCCGGAUUUACUGGGUGUAAAGGGAGCGUAGACGGUUCUGCAAGUCUGAAGUGAAAGCCCGUGGCUUAACCGC